rnacentral:piRNA from 1 species
AGCAAGACUGUCUCAAACAAAAAAC